GACGAACGCUGGCGGCGUGCUUAACACAUGCAAGUCGAACGGAAAGGCCCUGCUUUUGUGGGGUGCUCGAGUGGCGAACGGGUGAGUAACGCGUGAGUAACCUGCCCUUGACUUUGGGAUAACUUCAGGAAACUGGGGCUAAUACCGGAUAGGAGCUCCUGCUGCAUGGUGGGGGUUGGAAAGUUUCGGCGGUUGGGGAUGGACUCGCGGCUUAUCAGCUUGUUGGUGGGGUAGUGGCUUACCAAGGCUUUGACGGGUAGCCGGCCUGAGAGGGUGACCGGCCACAUUGGGACUGAGAUACGGCCCAGACUCCUACGGGAGGCAGCAGUGGGGAAUAUUUCACAAUGGGCGGAAGCCUGAUGCAGCACCGCCGCGUGCGGGAUGACGGCCUUCUGGUUGUAAACCGCUUUCGCCUGUGACGAAGCGUGAGUGACGGUAAUGGGUAAAGAAGCACCGGCUAACUACGUG
rnacentral:rRNA from 1 species